GUGCCAGCCGCCGCGGUACUACCGGCAGCCCGAGUGAUGGCCGAUCUUAUUGGGCCUAAAGCGUCCGUAGCUGGCCGCGCAAGUCCCUCGGGAAAUCCACCUGCUCAACAGGUGGGCGCCCGGUGGAAACUGUGCGGCUUGGGACCGGAAGGCGCGACGGGUACGUCCGGGGUAGGAGUGAAAUCCUGUAAUCCUGGACGGACCGCCGAUGGCGAAAGCACGUCGCGAGAACGGAUCCGACAGUGAGGGACGAAAGCCAGGGUCUCGAACCGGAUUAGAUACCCUGGUAGUCC
rnacentral:rRNA from 1 species